UUCACAAUAUACUGAAUGUGGCGGCGUUUGUGACUGCUUGACUUACUUCGCCGAGCUCAAAGAAAAUCAGACUGACAUCUGUUCUAAGCGUUCUAAAGGGGGAUAGACUGAAGUAGGCAUAUCAGACUCUGAGAGGCUACGCGCUUGCGUUCGACGCCUUUUAAAACAUCCGAAAAUACUGGGAAGUCGAACAAGUAUAUGUUGCUAGUCGCUGCUUGCUUCUCGCAUGAACGUGGUACGCCCCCUACUCGAGCUCCUGUGUUGCUGGAGAGUGAUUGUACCUGUUCUUCCCGGUCUUGAAGGUACCAAGAUCUGGUAAACCCAGGAGAAAAAAUAAACCGUCCAUGGCCCCUGCACCUUCGACUAAACUUCCGUACGGGGAAGAAGAAAAGCGAUCCGAGUCGCAAGGAGAUGAAGACAUUACAGGACAAGCACUGGAUGUGGUGACAGACUUCAGUGCACACGUUGCCAGAAAUGCCUCCCUCCAAAAUUAUAACUUCAAGGAGGGUGGAAACGUAACGGAAGACGCGCUGGGACGCAUUUCUCGAGCCUUCUACGACCAAGACCGGCUUGCUGCAGACAACUAUCUCUAUCCGAAUGGAAUCUGGGGUUCCACUAACAUGACUAACUUCUCAUCGCUAGACGAAAACGAUUACAGUGGUCAAAUGCCUCCAUCCAUGUCGCGUUUACACGAGUUCCAGAUCAUCAAAGCUGUUGUGCUGGCUGCCGUUACAGUGGUUAUUCUUAUCUCUAUAUGCAAGAUGGUGUUCCAGCUGUUUGUGCGGUACACAGUGAAACACGACAAAUGACGUCAGCUCAGUACGCUACGUAUGGAAACUUUUUACGGGAAGUCACGAAAUUACAAUCAUCUGAUUUUUUAUUAAAUGAAUCUUGCCUAUAAGACAUGGCCUGUAUAUGAAAUCGUAGACUGUACAUGGAAAUCGUUCAUGCGUCACAAGAAAAAAGGUCGGCUAUCAAUGUGUUUUAAUCAUGUGAAGAGCGUCGUGUGGGCAUACUGUUUAUGUAGCAUCUUUCGAUUUCUGAAUACUGGAUUAACAUUUCUAAACGCCUGUCAUCGACAAAAUUACGAAGAGGGCCUUUACAUAAUUACAUAAAAAACUACUACUAGCUCAGAAUAUUCUAAUGAAAAGUUCCAUUUAGAUCGCUAAAUGUUCACCAAACAUUAAAAAUAGUUCAGAAAGAUAUUCAUCUCUCUUUUAUAAAUACUGUACGUUUUGACAUUUUUCAAGCAAGUAUUCGCUUAGAGAUAUUUUAUAUAACUGCAACAGAACGUGAAGAAACAUGUGGACAUACAUUAUUUCAGAAUUUCAAUUACUGUCUCCCUCCCUCUUGGAAAAAAACGCAGUCUGAUUGCAAUAAACUGUAAUUUCCCAAA